AUACGGAGGAUCCGAGCGUUAUCCGGAUUUAUUGGGCUUAAAGGGCGCGUAGGCGGCGCGGUAAGUCUGGAGUGAAAGUCCUGCGUUUAAGGUGGGAACUGCUUUGGAUACUGGCGGGCUUGAGUGCAGGAGAGGUAAGUGGAAUUCCCAGUGUAGCGGUGAAAUGCGUAGAGAUUGGGAGGAACACCAGUGGCGAAGGCGACUUACUGGACUGUAACUGACGCGGAGGCGCGAAAGUGUGGGGAGCAAACAGGAUUAGAGACCCUGGUAGUCCACACGGUAAACGAUGAAUGCUAGGUGUAGGGGGUAUCGACCCCUUCUGUGCCGCAGUUAACGCAAUAAGCAUUCCGCCUGGGGAGUACGGCCGCAAGGUUGAAACUCAAAGGAAUUGGCGGGG
rnacentral:rRNA from 1 species